rnacentral:rRNA from 1 species
AGCGAACGCUGGCGGCAGGCCUAACACAUGCAAGUCGAACGAACCUUUCGGGGUUAGUGGCGGACGGGUGAGUAACACGUGGGAACGUGCCUUUAGGUUCGGAAUAACUCAGGGAAACUUGUGCUAAUACCGAAUGUGCCCUUCGGGGGAAAGAUUUAUCGCCUUUAGAGCGGCCCGCGUCUGAUUAGCUAGUUGGUUGAGGUAAUGGCUCACCAAGGCGACGAUCAGUAGCUGGUCUGAGAGGAUGAUCAGCCACAUUGGGACUGAGACACGGCCCAAACUCCUACGGGAGGCAGCAGUGGGGAAUCUUGCGCAAUGGGCGAAAGCCGGACGCAGCCAUGCCGCGUGAAUGAUGAAGGUCUUAGGAUGGUAAAAUUCUUUCACCGGGGACGAUAAUGACGGUACCCGGAGAAGAAGCCCCGGCUAACUUCGU